GCGGGAUUGGUGGUAUUGGCAGUACACACAGGUGUUAAAAUCCUGUAGGUUUCGACCUUGAGGGUUCGAAUCCCUCAUCCCGCACCA
rnacentral:tRNA from 3 species